rnacentral:rRNA from 1 species
GAUGGUUCAUUCAAAUUUCUGCCCUAUCAACUUUCGAUGGUAGGAUAGUGGCCUACCAUGGUUUUGACGGGUAACGGGGAAUUAGGGUUCUAUUCCGGAGAGGGAGCCUGAGAAACGGCUACCACAUCCAAGGAAGGCAGCAGGCGCGCAAAUUACCCAAUCCCAAUACGGGGAGGUAGUGACAAUAAAUACUGAUACAGGGCUCUUUUGGGUCUUGUAAUUGGAAUGAGAACAAUUUAAAUCCCUUAACGAGGAACAAUUGGAGGGCAAGUCCGGUGCCAGCAGCCGCGGUAAUUCCAGCUCCAAUAGCGUAUAUUAAAGUUGUUGCAGUUAAAAAGCUCGUAGUUGAACUUUGGGUCUGGCUGAUCUGUCCUCCUAAUCGAGCGCACGGAUUCGGUCGGACCUUUCCUUCUGGGGAACCCUAUGCCCUUCACUGGGCGUAGUGGGGAACCAGGACUUUUACCUUGAAAAAAUUAGAGUGUUCAAAGCAGGCCUUUGCUCGAAUACAUUAGCAUGGAAUAAUAGAA